rnacentral:rRNA from 1 species
UACGAAGGGUGCAAGCGUUAAUCGGAAUUACUGGGCGUAAAGCGUGCGUAGACGGUUACAUAAGUCGGGUGUGAAAGCCCCGGGCUCAACCUGGGAAUUGCAUUCGAGACUGCGUAGCUAGGGUGCGGAAGAGGGAAGCGGAAUUUCCGGUGUAGCGGUGAAAUGCGUAGAUAUCGGAAGGAACACCAGUGGCGAAAGCGGCUUCCUGGUCCAGCACCGACGUCAGGCACGAAAGCGUGGGGAGCAAACAGG